AGUGAACGCUGGCGGUAGGCCUAACACAUGCAAGUCGAACGGCAGCACAGUAAGAGCCUGCUCUUACGGGUGGCGAGUGGCGGACGGGUGAGGAAUACAUCGGAAUCUACUUUUUCGUGGGGGAUAACGUAGGGAAACUUACGCUAAUACCGCAUACGACCUACGGGUGAAAGCAGGGGAGCUUCGGACCUUGCGCGAUUGAAUGAGCCGAUGUGGGAUUAGCUAGUUGGGGGGGUAAAGGCCCACCAAGGCGACGAUCCGUAGCGGGUCUGAGAGGAUGAUCAGCCACACUGGAACUGAGACACGGUCCAGACUCCUACGGGAGGCAGCAGUGGGGAAUAUUGGACAAUGGGCGAAAGCCUGAUCCAGCCAUACCGCGUGGGUGAAGAAGGCCUUCGGGUUGUAAAGCCCUUUUGUUGGGAAAGAAAAGCAGCAGGUUAAUACCCCGCUGUUCUGACGGUACCCAAAGAAUAAGCACCGGCUAACUUCGUG
rnacentral:rRNA from 1 species